UGAGAUAGAAUGAUCACCUUGAAUGUUUGUUUUGGUGGGAUGUGUUAUUCUUUACUUUAAUAUGAAUGUUGAGCUUCCUUGGGUUGUUCUUGCUUCACUAAUUUUAUUUUUAAUUUUUAGUUUUUACUAUUUUUUAUCGUUAAAUGUUGUUGUUUCUGUCAUUGUUUUUUUAUUAAAUUUUUUGUCAUUGUUUAAGUUGUAGAAUCAGAUUGGCGGUGGAAAGCCCAAAAUGAGAUGGUUAGGAACUCAAUUUUGUUGCUCUCUCAAUUCUUCCAAUUCUCAGCCCUAAUUUUAUGAACUAUUGAAGUGAAGCACCUGCUGACAUUAAUAAACCUGCAUCUGCACCUGCUGGAAUCAUUGAUUCUUUGGGAGUUUUGAUAGAGAAAUUUGGAACAAGAGCUUGAAAUAUGAAGACAGCAUAUUGACUCUAUGGAGUUGCCUGCGGGAUUGUGAUCUUGGGUUUGGCUCUUUUAAGCAUACUGGAGAAGAUACAAUAUGUUUGCCAUUAUGAGAAUUGUGGGAAGGUGAUUGUAGAUAUACAACAAGUCCAACAGAUUUGCUGAAGCUGAGAAUAUAUUGAGAAAGAUUAUGAAAGGGUUGGAAAUCUUUGGAUAUCAUUGUUGUAGCUGAACGACUUGCACUAACUCUUGAAGCAACAAGGAGAUUAAAGGAGGUAGAAGAAUUGUUAGAGAGAUGUCUUGAUGCCAAGAAAAACUUACUUCCUCAUGAAAACUUUGCUUCUACAUGUGCAUUGACAUUUUCCUUAUUCUGCUGGUUCAAAACUCAUGGUGGUAAAGGUUAGAAAAUGGCAG